UGCAGUCGAGCGGACCGACGGGAGCUUGCUCCCUUAGGUCAGCGGCGGACGGGUGAGUAACACGUGGGUAACCUGCCUGUAAGACUGGGAUAACUCCGGGAAACCGGGGCUAAUACCGGAUGCUUGAUUGAACCGCAUGGUUCAAUCAUGAAAGGCGGCUUCGGCUGCCGUUUACAGAUGGACCCGCGGCGCAUUAGCUAGUUGGUGAGGUAACGGCUCACCAAGGCGACGAUGCGUAGCCGACCUGAGAGGGUGAUCGGCCACACUGGGACUGAGACACGGCCCAGACUCCUACGGGAGGCAGCAGUAGGGAAUCUUCCAGCAUGGACGAGAGUCUGACGGAGCAACGCCGCGUGAGUGAU
rnacentral:rRNA from 1 species